rnacentral:snRNA from 1 species
UACUUACUCCGUGAAUCG